UUUUUAUUUCGUGUUCUUUGGAUGUAAGAAUGGUGUUGAAUGAUAUUAAUAAGCUUUGGACCAAAAACAAGAUAUGUAUUGUUGAAGUUGUUAGUACUUUUGUGAGUGCUGUUAUACAUGGAACUAGUGAUAAUCCAUUAUUAAUAGAUGAAAAAUAGCAGUUGCUUUCCUAGUUCAACUUUACUUAGAAAUAUUUGUUAUCAUCUGUUAUUUACUUGGGUGCCUUGGUCAUUUAACUUUUUUCUUUUUCUUGGUCAAUGUAAUGUGGCUAUUUGAUUAAAUUACGUGGUAUAUCUUUAGCAAACUUAAGACAUGUACUUAAUCUGAAUUCUUCAUCAUCAAAUACCAUUUAUACAGGGAAUCUGAAUUUAUAAAUUUUAGGUUAUUCUUUUUCCUGAAACAAUGUAGUUAUUGUGUCAGUGUCCUCUGAAGUGAUGUGUUUUGGUGGCCGCUUCUUUUACAUCCAUUUAAGUGUUCUUUGAUUAUGUUGGAAACCUUGCACAUGGGGUAGUUGUCGACUCCUUUGUUAGUCUUGCAGUUAUUGAUUAACCCUUGGAAUUGAGGGCAUCCAUUUGAAGAUAACUCUAAAUUAUCUUUGAUAUGAUGAAUGCUUUAUUGUUUUUAAGCAUUUAGGUUUUUAUAUUAGCCUUUAGGAUUUAGAGAAUUUUUUUUUUACAGAACAGAGAUAUAAUUCAUGCUUCCAAGUUGAGCAGCAGACCAUUUGUUUUAAUGCGAAAGUAGGAUUUCACUUUUUGGAUUGAUGCAUAAAACAACGAUGCAAUUCAUUUUGUUUUUCUUUAUAUCUUAGCAUAUGUCAUCCUAUAUUUUGUAAUUUCCAAGGUGAGUUCAACACAUCUUCUCGGUGUGCUGCAGGUUGUACCCCCUGAUCAAGCUCGUACAAUAUACCAGGCACUGAAGAAGAAGGGUUUGCCAGUUGCUCUUGUUGAGUAUGAAGGGGAACAGCAUGGUUUUCGUAAGGCUGAAAAUAUUAAAUUUACGCUGGAACAAGAAAUGGUGUUUUUUGCACGAUUGGUUGGAAACUUCAAUGUUGCAGAUGAGAUUAAUCCAAUCAAAAUUGACAAUUUUGACUGAUCAUGUAUC
rnacentral:misc_RNA from 1 species